rnacentral:misc_RNA from 1 species
UCGCGGCUUAUCACCGGCAGUCCCCUUAGAGUGCCCAACUGAGUGCUGGCAACUAAGGGCGAGGGUUACGCUCGUUGCGGGACUUAACCCAACACCUCACGGCACGAGCUGACGACAGCCAUGCAGCACCUGUGCAAAGGUCCCGAAGGACGGCACCAUCUCUGGUGCUUGCCUUUGCAUGUCAAGCCUGGGUAAGGUUCUUCGCGUUGCAUCGAAUUAAACCACAUGCUCCACUGCUUGUGCGGGUCCCCGUCAAUUCUUUUGAGUUUUAACCUUGCGGCCGUACUCCCCAGGCGGGAUGCUUAAUGCGUUAGCUGCGCCACCAACAAGCAUGCUUGCUGACGGCUAGCAUCCAUCGUUUAAGGCGUGGACUAC